GAUAAACGCUGGCGGCGCACAUAAGACAUGCAAGUCGAACGGACUUAACCAAAAGUUUACUUUUGGAGCGGUUAGUGGCGGACUGGUGAGUAACACGUAAGCAACCUGCCUAUCAGAGGGGGAACAACAGUUAGAAAUGACUGCUAAUACCGCAUAUGCCUAAGUACCACAUGGUACAAUAGGGAAAGAAGCAAUUCGCUGAUAGAUGGGCUUGCGUCUGAUUAGCUUGUUGGCGGGGUAACGGCCCACCAAGGCGACGAUCAGUAGGGGUUCUGAGAGGAAGGUCCCCCACAUUGGAACUGAGACACGGUCCAAACUCCUACGGGAGGCAGCAGUGAGGAAUAUUGGUCAAUGGGCGAGAGCCUGAACCAGCCAAGUAGCGUGCAGGAUGACGGCCCUAUGGGUUGUAAACUGCUUUUAUAAGGGAAUAAAGUGGGAGUCGUGACUCUUUUUGCAUGUACCUUAUGAAUAAGGACCGGCUAAUUCCGUG
rnacentral:rRNA from 1 species